GAGACUGUGCUAGAGAGAGAGAAUGUGUGUGAGAGAGAGAGAGAGUGUGUGUGUGUGUGUGUGUGUGUGUGUGUGUGUGUGUGUUUUCAGAGGAUUCCUAAGGGGAUGUCUGGUGCCAGAGGCUGGUGUCGGCUCUGGGGAGUUGGCGUGUCUCCCGUGAGAAGCUUGAACGCUGAGCGGGGAAUCAUUCCGGGACAGCAGCAGGAACAAAGCCACAGAUGUGUGUGUGUGUGUGUCGUCUCCUGCUGGACGGCCCGGCGCUGAACAGCAGCCAGUCUGAAUCAGGACGCUGCAGAGGAAGUGUGCCAGUCUCAUCUGUUCCUGUGGUGACUGUUUAUAGAAAUCUGUCCUUUUGUCUUUUUUGUAAAUUCAAUCAUCCGGGGAAAUCGCUCAGAAAGAUUCAAGCCUGAGUAGAAAGUCAAAAUCUUUUAUAGAGGUGAAUAUUUUUAGAAAAGAUGUGAUGUACAAAAGAUUCUGUAUUAAAAGCGACGUCAACGAGAA